rnacentral:rRNA from 3 species
CGAAACUGCGAAUGGCUCAUUAAAUCAGUUAUCGUUUAUUUGAUAGUACCUUACUACAUGGAUAACCGUGGUAAUUCUAGAGCUAAUACAUGCUAAAAAUCCCGACUUCGGAAGGGAUGUAUUUAUUAGAUUAAAAACCAAUGCCCUUCGGGGCUCUCUGGUGAUUCAUAAUAACUUCUCGAAUCGCACGGCCUUGCGCCGGCGAUGGUUCAUUCAAAUUUCUGCCCUAUCAACUUUCGACGGCUGGGUCUUGGCCAGCCGUGGUGACAACGGGUAACGGAGGGUUAGGGCUCGACCCCGGAGAAGGAGCCUGAGAAACGGCUACUACAUCCAAGGAAGGCAGCAGGCGCGCAAAUUACCCAAUCCCGACACGGGGAGGUAGUGACAAUAAAUACUGAUACAGGGCUCUUUCGGGUCUUGUAAUUGGAAUGAGUACAAUUUAAAUCCCUUAACGAGGAACAAUUGGAGGGCAAGUCUGGUGCCAGCAGCCGCGGUAAUUCCAGCUCCAAUAGCGUAUAUUAAAGUUGUUGAGGUUAAAAAGCUCGUAGUUGAACCUUGGGCCUAGCCGGCCGGUCCGCCUCACCGCGUGCACUGGCUCGGCUGGGUCUUUCCUUCUGGAGAACCGCAUGCCCUUCACUGGGUGUGCCGGGGAACCAGGACUUUUACUCUGAACAAAUUAGAUCGCUUAAAGAAGGCCUAUGCUCGAAUACAUUAGCAUGGAAUAAUAGAAUAGGACGUGUGGUUCUAUUUUGUUGGUUUCUAGGACCGCCGUAAUGAUUAAUAGGGACAGUCGGGGGCAUCAGUAUUCAAUUGUCAGAGGUGAAAUUCUUGGAUUUAUUGAAGACUAACUACUGCGAAAGCAUUUGCCAAGGAUGUUUUCAUUAAUCAGGAACGAAAGUUAGGGGAUCGAAGACGAUCAGAUACCGUCGUAGUCUUAACCAUAAACUAUGCCGAUUAGGGAU